rnacentral:tRNA from 1 species
UCCGGUAUGGUCUAGUGGCUAGGAUACCUGGCUUUCACCCAGGAGGGCCGGGUUCGAUUCCCGGUACCGGAA